CCUACGGGAGGCAGCAGUGGGGAAUAUUGGACAAUGGGGGCAACCCUGAUCCAGCCAUGCCGCGUGUGUGAAGAAGGCCCUUGGGUUGUAAAGCACUUUCAGUGGGGAGAAAGGUCAUUCACCUAAUACGUGAGUGAAUUGAUGUUACCCACAGAAGAAGCACCGGCUAACUCCGUGCCAGCAGCCGCGGUAAUACGGAGGGUGCAAGCGUUAAUCGGAAUUACUGGGCGUAAAGCGCACGUAGGUGGUUUGCUAAGUCAGCUGUGAAAUCCCCGGGCUCAACCUGGGCACUGCAGUUGAAACUGGCAAGCUAGAGUAGGGUAGAGGGGUGUGGAAUUCCAGGUGUAGCGGUGAAAUGCGUAGAUAUCUGGAGGAACAUCAGUGGCGAAGGCGACACCCUGGACUCAUACUGACACUGAGGUGCGAAAGCGUGGGGAGCA
rnacentral:rRNA from 1 species